GGAUGAAGAACGUAGCGAAAUGCGAUAAGUAAUGUGAAUUGCAGAAUUCAGUGAAUCAUCGAAUCUUUGAACGCACAUUGCGCCCAUUAGUAUUCUAGUGGGCAUGCCUGUUCGAGCGUCAUUUCAACCCUUAAGCCCUCGUUGCUUAGCGUUGGGAGCCUACGGUCCCGGUGGCCGCAGCUCCCUAAAGUCAGUGGCAGGGUCGGUCCGUACCCUAGGCGUAGUAAAUCUCUAUCUCGCCUCUUGUGUACGGGUCGUCCCUCGCCGUAAAACCCCCCAAAUUCUAAAAGGUUGACCUCGGAUCAGGUAGGAAUACCCGCUGAACUUAAGCAUAUCAAUAAGCGGAGGA
rnacentral:misc_RNA from 1 species